rnacentral:misc_RNA from 1 species
UCACUAUAAGCGUGACGGUGAUGACGAUGAUGACGGUGUUCGUGGGAUAGGGUAAAGGGGUAUAUCAAAAACAUCGUCAUCACCGUCAGCAUCGUCAUUCUAC